GACCCCGCGAGGACCGCCCCAUCUCUCUCGUCGUCACCCCGCACCCCGUUCCCCAAAUUCUUCUCCUCUCCCUCGUUUGCCGCCGCCAGCACUCAUCGGCGCCCUCCCCCACAGCCGUCGCCGCCGCCGCCACCAGCGUCCCCCCUCACAGCCUGCGCCCCACCCCUUCUCUCCUCCCCUUAUCCCGACCACCAGGCGACCUCCUCGCCUCCACUUCGCCCCAGAUCGAGAAGCAGGUCGGGAUCCACGGCCACGGCGGCGUGAGCGCCUCGAUUUAGAUUUAAGCCGCGUGACGAGGGUGCUCUCUGCAGCGCUAACCCAAGUGCCGACGCCACGGACAAGGUGCCCUCUCCAUCACUUCCCUCUCUGUAUUUUUGAUUUGGAGUUGGUGCUCUGUUCCUGUUCGUGAAGCGCCCUCUCUUCUCUGCUGCAAGGUUCGUCAAGCAUCUUUGCUCGUGGAAACCGAGCAGGCAGGAGGUACGAAUAUCUCCUCUCGUCUGGUUUUCUUCAUCCCCCUAUGUGAUGGGUGCCAUCUGUUUUUGUGCAUGUUUCAUGGAGAGGAGAAGCUGCUCCGAUCCCAUCUGCUGAAGGAGGAUGCCCACCAUCCAAGGUGCUCAACAUCACCGCCAUCUGUUGCCUGCCAAGCCAUCUGUAGUUCAGUCAGCUUCAAUGCAAUGCAUGGGUGGUGUCGCAACCAAAGCAAGUUCCAGAACAAUAUAAAGGCCUGAAAGAUCAAAGUAAUUACCCUGCUAAGAAAAUACCAGAGCGAAGAUGUCUGUCUGAUAGGCAAAGCAGACAUAGCAAAGCUUCUUGUAUGUAUUCGGGAGAGGAUGCCUGUUGAUGAUCAGACUGGUAGCGCACGUUUACGGACACCAGUGGGCAGAAACGCAGAAGUCACAACAUUGGACGCAAACGCAAUCAGCAACGGCGACCAGACGUGCAGUGACCCGACGAUUGGCGACGUCUGCAGUACUGGGCGAGUGACGGACGACUGACAAAGUGAUGAUUCAAUUGAUCUGAUGGAUUCAGGGAUAGUUGGCUUGUCUGCCCGUUGGCCUGAAAUCCCACUUCUGAUCUUCUCUGAAACCAAAGGACGGACUGUUGGAGAAGCCCAAAGGCAGUACUGCCGGACCUAGGAGAAGGCGUUGCGGCUGGGUCGUCCAACAUGGAGUGGGGCAACGUUCUUGUAGCUGCCACCUCAUCUAUUAUGGAGCCUGCAUGAUUUUAAUUGGAGGGAAGAUGGGUGUUUUCAUCUGUGGCGUAGUAUAUACCUGGCGUUCAUCUUCGGGCACAGCGUGGCUGGUUCUGGUGCCGGCGAGUUGACGCUCGAACGCCGUCCAGUUAUUAUAUAUCGAGGAGUUACGGCCGGGGAUCGCCGGCGGCGCACGUUCUCGCCUGUCUCGCUCAAGGACUGCAGAGAUGGAGUCUAUGUUGGGCUGCUCCUCCUCGUAUGAUAGGUGGUGCGGUGGUGGUCGCACAGCUGAGAUAUCCAUGGAGGAAGGGGCAAGAUCUCCGUUGGGUGGAUGCUUGAGCAUGUAUUGGAGGGAGAUGGGACUCCACCGUUCAUCCAUUCUACAGCGGAUGGAUAUUUAUUUAUGAGUAUGACCCAUGUACAGCUCAGUUACAGAAGAUGAAGAUGAAGGGAUGCGUUUGGAGGAGAAAUUAAAUCACAAUAUCACAUUCACGGCAGGAAAACAGAAUGCACCGUGAAAGCUUAUGUGGCAAUGAUGCUGAUGCAAGACCAUGAAAGCUGAUGUGGCAUGAUGGUGAUGUGGAUAGUGUGCAUGUUGAGAGAAUUGUUAGUAGUGGGGAUCAACUUUUUAAGAAUGUAGGAUGAUGGAAUCGGGAAAGUACUUGUGCAUUAAAUGAAGUGCUAAUCAUUUUUAGUUAGAUGGCUAUUGUGUUCUUUGUCUACCUAUUGUUGAUUAUACUUACAGGGCCUAGAUCAAUAUAAAGCUGUGGGAUGCACUGCAGAAGGAUUUGAAUGCUGGAAGUAAGAGGGUGAGAUGGAUAGAUAGAGAACCUUAUGCUUACUGGAAAGGGAAUCCAGAGAUCGCAACUAUAAGGCAAGAGCUUAUCAAGUGUAAUGUUUCCAGUAAACAAGAAUGAAAUACAGGGAUCUACAAACAGGAUUGGAUCAAAGAGAGCAAGGCAGGAUACAAGAAAUCAUAUUUGGCCAGUCUAUGCACCCAUAGGUACAAGAUCUACAUUGAAGGAUCAGCAUGGCCAGUUAGUGAGAAGUAUAUCAUAGCUUGUGAUUAAACAAAAUACUACGAUUUCUUUUCAAGGGUGUUGAUGCCCACUCAGCAUUAUUGGCCAGUUCGAGAUGACAGGUUAUAGCAUGUUCAGUUCAUCAGUGAGAUAUCUCCUCUGGUUACCUUUUUUCAGUGUGCUAUGUGCAUCUAGCUGGUGGCCACCAGCUAAAAAGGUGAGAGCAGCCAUGAAGGACUUGCCAGUCGAACUAAAGUGAGAGCGGCCAUGAAGAAAGCUCAAUUUGUGGUCGAAGGCUGCAAAAAAUUAUUCCAGAGUUUGGAACACUCCUGUAGCAUGCCAUCACGACCGCUUGCCUAUCAGGAGUUUCGUGCGUCAUAGGCAAUCUUCCUGUCCUGCUUCCCCCACUGUCUCUAACGGCCAUCUCCCUCUAGAUCUCCAUUCUUUGAGCACAUGGGGAUGUCUUGAUUAUCAAUGCUUUAAUCUAUGCCACUGUUGUUUUUAACAUACUGACUGGCCGUAUCCUACUAUAACUUCAGUUGACACAUUGUGAUCAUCCUCCAUAAAUAUUUUGUAGAUCCAGGCUUAAAUAUAAAAUGUCCUACUCUAUAAUAAUGCUGCUCGUCUACUCUAGGAUCACGCUAAUUGCUAAGUAGUUGAUGAAUACAUAAAUUAUAUAUCUUUGAUAUUUGUUGUUGAACUAAUUAGUACCGAUGUGCCUUCAAGUUCUGAUGCAAUUUAGAACAUCUCUCUUUAAGCAAAA